UCGGCCAGGUUCGGCGACAAGAUGUCC
rnacentral:piRNA from 1 species